rnacentral:piRNA from 2 species
UCCCAAUGAUGAGUUGCCAUGCUAAUACUGA